rnacentral:lncRNA from 1 species
CCUUAAUUACUUCUUUAGAGACCCCAUCUCCAAAUACAGCUACACUCCAGAUACGUCUGCAGUGUGUGAACUGGGAUUGGGGAACACAAAUAAUUCGUAAGAGUAUAUCCAGAUGUUGAGCUGCUGGUAGAUUUCAAGGUACAUUAUUCCGUGGAAUGAGGAUCACAGACAUUCAUCCUGUGCAACAUUUUCACACUUCUGAACAUCUGAGUGAUGGAGUACAAGGACCUGAGAUCUGCUGACCAUUGGAAGUGAUUUCUGGUGGGAAGUGUCUGUGUGUACUUGGCCACAGAGAAGAGGCUGCACCAGCAUUUACUUGGAAGAUUUUCACUUUCUGCAGAAAGGUUAGUUUAAACAUUUGAGUUAAUGUACUGUAAACUGUUCAACUGUUUCCUAAACAAAGGGAGUGCCUAAAUGGCACAUUGAUUGUUCUUGGUUGGUACAUUGUGUGUUUUGGGUUCCAGCUUGUUUGUAACUAAAAGCAAACAGCGGUGGUGUGAUGGAUUUGCCUGUGUGUGAAAUGGAUCUUCAACAAGGGAAUCGCAAAACGUUUACACUUCUAGACGUGAGCGCUCCCAACACAGCACAGUCUGCCUUUCCAAUUUCAUCCAACUGUGAUGGAAGGAAGGAAAAAUUCCAUAACAUCAAUGUGCACUUAAUUGUCAGAGGGAAAUAAAAUUACGAAGUUUAGUAAUACCAUAAAAUUCUGUGCUGUUAUGCAAGAACCUAAAAUUACAUGCUCUCUAAAGGAAAAUCAUUAUACUACAGGGACUCACAAAGGCUUUCCAAACAGAGCUGCAUAAUCUCACAGUUAAGAGCAGUUACUUCAGGUUGAAAGAGACUAAAAACAACAACAAAAAAGCAGGUUGUAAGGGUAGAUAAAUUCAAGGUGACUUUGGGUUAUUGUGCUAUUUUGAGCCCAUGGAGUUAAGGGUGCAAAGGUACCUUGGUUUCUGCUAUGAUAUUGAAGAACAAAUCAAGGACAUAAGGCUGAGAGAUACAAUGUGGCUGAUUUCAAACAGAAACGAUGCUCAGUACUUCAUUACCUGUUUUGUUGUUGUUCAGGUAAGGAUUGAAAUAAUACUAGAAAGAUGCAAAAGAGUAAAUACAACUGAACAAAGAAAGGUAGUAAUGUAAAGCAGUAUAUUCACCUGUGAGCAGAGGUCAGGGUCACCUUGUCACCCAUCCAUCCAUCUAUUUUUUUUUUAAUGUUUUAUUGAGGAACUCUUGUGCCAGGUUCUCUUCUAGGUACUGAAGAAGCAUCAUGAACAAGGCUUGCUUGGUCUCUAACUAUAUAGAGCUUAU